CACGUAGGGGGCGAGCGUUGUCCGGAAUCAUUGGGCGUAAAGAGCUCGUAGGCGGCUCGGUAAGUCGGGUGUGAAACCCCCAGGCUCAACCUGGGGACGCCACCCGAUACUGCUGUGGCUAGAGUCCAGUAGGGGAGUGUGGAAUUCCCGGUGUAGCGGUGAAAUGCGCAGAUAUCGGGAGGAACACCAGCGGCGAAGGCGGCACUCUGGGCUGGAACUGACGCUGAGGAGCGAAAGCCAGGGGAGCAAACGGG
rnacentral:rRNA from 1 species